rnacentral:rRNA from 1 species
CCCGGGAUAGCCCAGGGAAACCUGGAUUAAUACCGGAUGAGACGGGACCCGCGAUGGCGGGAUCCGGGAAAGGCGCUGCGGCGCCGGCCGGGGGAUGAGUCUGCGUCCCAUUAGCUAGACGGCGGGGUAACGGCCCACCGUGGCGACGAUGGGUAGCCGGCCUGAGAGGGUGGACGGCCACAUUGGAACUGAGACACGGUCCAGACUCCUACGGGAGGCAGCAGCUAAGAAUCCUUCCGCAAGUGGGACGAAAGCCUGACGGAGCGACGCCCGCGUGAACGAAGAAGGCCGUGAGGUUAGUAAAGUUCGUUUCGGGAGGGGGAACAACCGUGGCAGGGAAUGGCCGCGGGAUGACGUGAAUCCCGGAAUAAGCCCCGGCUAACUACGUGCCAGCAGCAGC